AUAUUCGCGAAGUCUCUGAGGCUGAGGCAGUGGCGUAAGGGGCGCGGAGCGCUGCCGAGAUGUGGGCUGCGUGCGUAAAGCCGGAGAGCCCUUUUGAGUCUGCGUUGGUGUGGCUGCUGCUUCUUGCUCCAGUCCCUUUGUUCGCUGAGUCGAUAUCCCAUGCUCCAGUUGUAUCAUCCCCUUUUCUCCCGACCUCGUUUUCUCACCGGGAAUAUGGGAAGAAAACGCACCUUUACCUCCCCGGAGCCCUGUGCGUGGCGAGUGAGCAUUGCUUUUCUUGGCGCCCCUUGGAGCUGUGGCUGCCCUCGCGUGCCUGGCCUCUCCAGGGGCCGGGCCCGUCGGGUUGAGGCCUGGCGCCCCCGGGCGCAGUGCCGGGACACUACCCAAUUCCAGGUCCUCGGCUUCGGCAGCCUUAGGGAACCCAGAGAGUAGUGGGGAGGAGGCGAGACUUGCGCCCUGAUGCGAAAGGAGAGCUUCAUUCAGCUCCUUAUUGGCCCACCCCCUGCAGAGUGAAUGAGAAGGGGAUGAAAGGAAGGGGUUGAUUGUCUUUCUUUGUACCGCACACAAGAAGCAGCUUUUCCCAUAGGAAUGUCCCGCUGGCGGUCACCGAGGAAAACACCCUGUGUGUCAGACUUCCGCGGGUGUUUGGAGGAUUUCAAAUUGCUGGCUCCUGGGUGGUUUUGUUUUGUUUUGUUUUUUAAGUGCACGUUAAACAUUGUCAGUUGUGUAUUUUCAUUUUAUUUAGGGUCAACCAUAAUAAAUAGUAUUAGGCUUUUCAAAGCCGGUAAGUUGAACUUUGUAUACUUCUCAGGUAAUGUGUUGAUGGGUACCUUAUUCCAUCGGUUGCGACACUGUGGCUACACUAAAAUGGAGUCAUACUUCCAUAAACUUAAACAACAAAAAUGUCCCCAUCUCCAUUUUAACAUGUAGUACUUUCACAGUGUAUAGUCAAAGGCAAGAAUGUGUGUGUUUUAACAUGAAUGACUUUUAAAGAAAGUGUUCAGUAAGAGGCAGGAUUUUCAAAGACCCAAACUUAACCUUUGAUGUGUCAAAACAGCUCUUGGUAUUAGAGCACCUGGUCCUUAAUACAAUUUUCAGGAAAAUUGCAGUUUUUCCUGCGACAUUUAAACGUGAUAACAGAAGGCUGUGGUGUGGCUCUACAGGUUUCUAAUACAAUUCCAGCAUCUGUAGAUCUUUGCUAUAGAAUAAAGUCAGCAUUCCCCACCUUACUGUUACUACACUUAACUGCUAUUAAAUCAAUUUUACUUGAACUUUAAAACUUGGAAGAGAUAUUCUAAAAAUAUAUAUAUAUAUUUUGGGGUGGUGGUGGUGGUGUAAGUUUUGUUUUAAAUACAAGAGGUUUCACUUUGUAAUUUUUUGGACCCUUCUAGCUUCAUGAUAACACCAGAAUAAUGUUUCUUUAUAAUUUCUGUAGGGCUUUAAGGUUUGGAAAAAUGCAUUUAGUAUAUGUGAUAUUUUGACAUAACUGGUUUACAUUCCAUAUAUCUGAUAAUGAACGAAUACAUUAGUUUACUAGGAAGAACAAUAGUUUUUUUCAAAUUGAAAUCUAUUAAGUGAGGGAAAUAAACAUUGAAACUUUCUAAAGUUUCCAUCACAUCAUGGAUAUAUGAAAAUUCAAUAGCACUUUGGGAGGCCAAGGUGGAAGGAUCCCUUGAGCCCAGGAGUUGGAGACCAAUCAGGGCAACAUAGGGAAACCCCCCUUCCCCCGUCUCUAAAAUUUAAAAGUUAAAAAAAGAUCCGGAUGUGGUGACAUGCAUUUGUAGUAUCAGCUACUUGGGAGGCUGACAUGGGCAAAUCCCUUAAGCCCAGAACUUUGAGGCUGCAAUGAGCCGUGAUCACGCCACUGCACUCCAGCCAGGGCAAUAGAGUGAGACCCUGUCUCAAAAAAAAAAAAAAAAAAAA
rnacentral:lncRNA from 1 species